ACGCUAGGGAGAGAAAGCAUUAUGAUUCACGCAGUGCCGACCCCGGUGUGCCGGUGAAAGGUACUGUUUCUUUUUGACUCCGCGUGUGUUGUGCUUAAAAACGCACAUUUGCUAUCGAUG